rnacentral:misc_RNA from 1 species
CUCUUCUUAUGCAUCUCCUACACGCAGGAAUCUCACAUGCACACACACACACACACACACACACACACACGCCACCACCAUAGCAGCAGCAGGCCACGGACACACGAGGAACUUUGCCGUUACACAGACGGAGCCGUUCUUUUGCUCCUUGCGUUGUGGUGUACCGCGUGCGCCAUCUCGACCGCCCCGCCUUUCCACAUAGACACACCCUGGUGACCGGAAGAGAAGGCCCAGAGACGGCAGGCAAAGGAAGCAGGAGGCAACAUGGACGGCGAAAAGCUCAGCUCGAUCAACACGCUGCGCACACGCUUUCCGGCGCUGACCGUUUCAGAUGCCCGCGCGUUGCUAGAGCGGCACAACUGGAAUGUCACCAUCGCUGGCGCGGAGGCAGAGCGAGGGGAGCGACAGCGCAAGAAGGCGGACUCGGCAAACUACUUUGUGGGCGGCGGGGACAAGGGUAGUGGGCAGCAGGUCAUGGCGCCGCCCGGUGAGAGUGUUUCCGACCGCAGCGGUGAAAUCGGCAGCGGCAGCGGGGUGCACUCCAUGAUCGAUCGCAUUUUUCGCAAAGCGGAGGUGGAGAUGGCGAAAGCGAGCGGAGGUGAUGGCGGCACUGGCGUCGAGGAUAAUGAGCCGCGUGCCUUUUACGGUCGAGGUCAGCGCCUCGGCUACACCGCCAACCCCAGUCCAUACGUCGCCUCUACGCUGCGCGCAGCGCGGUCUGUUUGCAUAACAGUCUACCGUAACGGCUUCGAGGUGGACAGCAACGGGUUUGUGCCGCUCAACAGUGACGAGGGCCGCCAGUUUGUGGAGGCAAUGGACAAGGGUUAUGUGCCGCCUUCCCUCGCCGCCAAGUAUCCGAACACAGACCUGACGGUGAACCUGCGCGACUGCCUCCAGGUAGACUACGUCCCACCUUCGUACAUCCCUUUUCAGGGCCACGGCCACCGCCUUGCAGCGCCAAGCAGUGCCGCCGCCUCGUCUGCCGCACCAGCAGAUGCUCAAGCGUCUCCCGCGACGGCGGGUAGCCCGGGUACGCCAACCUACGAUCCCUCUCGCGCCGUGGAGGUGCGCAGCGAUGAGGCGACGUCAUUUGUGGUGCUCCUGAACACGCGAGGGGAGCGGCGGCAAGUGCAGGUAAACCCGGAACGGCACACCGUGGACGACCUCUACAGCCUUGCUCAUGCCUAUCAGCCGGAGCUGCCGAAUUUUAUCCUGGUGGAGCGCGGGAUGCCGCCGCGCCGCUUGGAGGCCUCUACGCGGUCGCAGACAAUCGCGCAGGCGAAGCUCAGCCGCGCUGUUGUAGCCCUUCAGCAGCUGUGACGGCGGUGUGGAAAAGGAGACGCCAGCUCUGCAGCAAGCGCACUUGCGUGCGUGUGUGUGUGUGUGCGUUGGGGGCGGGGGGAAGGAGUCGUGCAGUGGAGGGUAAAGGGCUUGGCGUCAACGGAUGUUCUCCAUCCUUGCUGUCACGAAGACCGACUACCUACGUCGGCUCUCAGCACCCACGUCGCCCAUCCCUCACUUUUCACUGGGGCACCGGUAAUGAGGUGCGGCUUUUGCUCUUUUUCUGUUCGUGCGAAUCGGGAACGGCACACGCCCUCGUCAGCAUCCUUGAAGCUCCCUUCGCGGCGUCUCCUCCAACCCCUCCUCCCUCCUCAAUACUUCCACACGCAGGCUUCCACCCUUUGGCUUUGCCGUCUCUUUUCCCUAUGAGGGCACCAGUCUUGGUUCACUGACUUUUCUCCUCUCUGCUUAGGGCACGCCUUCACGACUCCCCUGGCGGCAGUCCCUCCUCUCCCUCUCCGAGUGUGGUGCGCUGUAUCUGUGUGUGCGUGUGUUUACGGCCCCUUCCGUGCGCCGUGUUGCGCUGGAAGGGUGUGCUGCCAAAGCCGCUAGCAGGAGGGAGUGCGAGGGAUAAAAGGACUACAUCCACACCGUUGACCGAGUUGUCAAUACAAGCCACCGCACACAAGAUCAUCGCACGCCAUCGGCGAAAUGCACACCCGCCUAUGCACACCUACUUGAUCGUGCACGUAUGCAGGCGCGGGCACUCUUACCCAAUCGCGCUAUGCUCACU